CAUCUCGGCCAUACCACUCUGAAUGCACCAAUCUCGUCUGAUCUCGGAAGCUAAGAGGGUCAGGCCUGGUUAGUUCUUAGAUGGGAAAAUAUGUGUAUGUCAUGCAUUCAUUUCUCCAGAAGCAAGAGGCAGAUUUGA
ensembl:rRNA 5S_rRNA 5S ribosomal RNA